rnacentral:rRNA from 1 species
GACGAACGCUGGCGGCGUGCCUAAUACAUGCCAGUUGAGCGCUGAAGGUUGGUACUUGUACCAACUGGAUGAGCAGCAAACGGGUGAGUAACGCGUGGGGAAUCUGCCUUUGAGCGGGGGACAACAUUUGGAAACGAAUGCUAAUACCGCAUAAAAACUUUAAACACAAGUUUUAAGUUUGAAAGAUGCAAUUGCAUCACUCAAAGAUGAUCCCGCGUUGUAUUAGCUAGUUGGUGGGGUAAAGGCUCACCAAGGCGAUGAUACAUAGCCGACCUGAGAGGGUGAUCGGCCACAUUGGGACUGAGACACGGCCCAAACUCCUACGGGAGGCAGCAGUAGGGAAUCUUCGGCAAUGGACGAAAGUCUGACCGAGCAACGCCGCGGGAGUGAAGAAGGGUUUCGGAUCGUAAAGCUCUGUUGGUAGAGAAGAACGUUGGUGAGAGUGGAAAGCUCAUCAAGUGACGGUAACUACCCAGAAAGGGACGGCUAACUACGUG